UUCACUCAUUACUAUUAAUACGCAUUACUUUGUUUUCUAGAUUUCCGUGUUCUGUUCAUCCAGCACCAGCAGAGUGGAUUAUUCUCUUUUCUAAUGCCUAUUCCAAUGAUCGAGAAAGAGUCUCAAAUGCAGAUCUCGUGAAACACGCCGGAUCCAGGUCUAUGUUGUGUGUAUGGUGCUAAUGUUCCUUUUCCACUACGGGACCAGAGUUCGACUUUCUUUUUUCUUCCAUUCGGUUUGCCCUGCCGACCUAUUUAUGAUGGCUGCAUCUUAGAUGACUCGUGAAUAAUUUAAAAAUCUUUAUUUGUUAUCUUCUGUUUAUGCAAUAAGUUGUUUACUAAUUAAUUUAUCCGACUAUUACCAGAUCCAAAUUCCAUAUUAGUUAACGAAAAAUUCCGAUUUGGUAACUAAUUUUAAUUUGCCUUCGUUGCCUUUUGUUCGGUAUGGUUUACUAAGCAGCUAGCACCCCUUCGUGCGUCAAGACCACACCAUAACGGUAUGGGUACCAAAGCGGUACAGCCGCUUCGGUUUCUCCAGGCUAUUCACUAUAGAAUAGAUGCCAUUGAUGACGACAGACAUCAUCAUGCAGAAACGCCCUACGAAAAAAGAGACCAAUAAAAGGCUGCCAUGUUCAUCUCUCACCUCAUAUGAUUUGAAUUAUGUCAGAUUAUGUUCUUAAAGGAGCUGAAAAAACUCUGAUUGACUCUAUCAAGUUUCCACAUGAAAUCAGAUUAGUCAACAUUGGGAAGUGUAUAGGAGAUACUACAGAAGAUAACUUCAUACUAACUUUGAUAGUGAACAAGAAUGGAGGAAAAUCACCGUUGGUAUUGCUGCAUGGUUUCACAUCAGGUAUUGGGCUGUGGUGUCUCAAUUUUGACGCUCUUGCAGAAGACAGGCCAGUAUAUGCAAUGGAUCUUUUAGGUUUUGGUUCUAGUAGCCGGCCUCACUUCAAUACUGAUGCAAAUGUAGCUGAGGGAGAAAUGGUAAAAUUUGUUGAAGAAUGGAGAAAAGGAGUUAAAUUGGAUCAAGAUUUCAUUUUGCUUGGGCAUAGUAUGGGAGCAUUUGUUGCUGCAGCCUAUGCACUUCGUCAUCCAGACAAGGUCUCUCACUUGAUUCUCGCAGAUCCUUGGGGAUUCUCCACUAGACCUUCUAACGCGCAAGGAAUUGUAUUCAAUAUGCUUCAACGAUUUCCCAAGUUAAAUCCCCUUAAAUUUAUGCGAUCUUCUGGACCGACAUUAGGACCCCAACUGGUGAAGUGUGUACGUCUUGAUAUUGGCCACUUGUACGGAAAAUUUUUUCCAGUUUCAGUUAUUGCCCAAUAUAUUUAUGAUUGCAACGCAAAACCGCCAACAGGAGAACACUGUUUUUAUUCAAUGGCGAGUGCGAGUCGGAUGUGUUUUUCUUUUAUGGAUAGCUUUCGAUGGGCCAAGCACCCUAUGAGAGACCGCAUAUGUAAGCUAAAACAGAGUAUACCUCUUACGUUUAUUUACGGCGAAUUAUCUUGGGUUGAUAAAAGUCCCGGAGAAUUCAUCAAAGAAAAGAGGGUAGGAUGUUUGGUUUAUAUCCAUAUUAUUAAAGGCGCCCGUCAUCACGUGUAUGCCGAAAAACCCGAGAAAUUUCACGAACAUGUGUUAGAUGCUUGUCAGAAAGCAGAUAAUUAGUAUUAUACACAGCAUUGUCCCAGACCUGUGCACAGGGAAGACAUUUCGAACAAGCCGUGAUCCUUAGAUUGCAAUGACAUUUAAAUGUAACAACACAUUUGAAAGUUGCUUUACUGUUUACUUUCAUCCAAUCUUGCUAUCCCUAUACUCAAUUAUCUACACGUACAAGUGUGCAACGGACGCUUUGGCCAGCUUUGGCUUUGGAAAUACUGAAAUUUGGUAUUCAUUUAUGAUUUAACAUUGAUCCCCUAUUUCCCUAUGCUUUGUGAACCAUAGGAUCUUUUCUGAAUCUCGCAAUUUUGGUGGCGCACCCUGCAACAGCAUGUUUGUUGUUGUGCAUGUUUUUACUUCUGUUUAGAAGGCAACCCAGCUAAGAGAUAGGUGAGUUUUAUUUCUCAUAGGUAAAUUUGUGAAAAUUUGUUAAUAAUGCAGAUAAUUUCCUUGUCCCAUAGCUGCUUAGAGUUUCAGUGACAUGAAGAGUGUGUAGUGAAUAACCUGCAAUGUGUAUGAAAAUGUACCAGAUCUGUACAUGAAAAAAUAUGUACAUGAGUACAGAUAUAACAAUUUUAUUUUUUAAAUCCAUAUAGGCCAUAAUCAUUUUAUUCUUUAUUUCCUUCUUUAUUCUCCCCAAUUAGGUCUUCUUUCAUAGGAAAUAUACAAUUUAUCAAAGGUGGACUAUAUUAACUCAGUUAUUUUAGGGUCCU
rnacentral:misc_RNA from 1 species